rnacentral:rRNA from 1 species
UACGUAGGGGGCUAGCGUUGUCCGGAAUCAUUGGGCGUAAAGCGCGUGUAGGCGGCCCGAUAAGUCCGCUGUGAAAGUCCAGGGCUCAACCCUGGGAUGCCGGUGGAUACUGUCGGGCUCGAGUCCGGAAGAGGCGAGUGGAAUUCCUGGUGUAGCGGUGAAAUGCGCAGAUAUCAGGAGGAACACCAAUGGCGAAGGCAGCUCGCUGGGACGUGACUGACGCUGAGGCGCGACAGCGUGGGGAGCAAACAGG